ACUCAAAUGAAUAGACGGGGACCCGCACAAGCGGUGGAUUAUGUGGAUUAAUUCGAUGCAACGCGAAAAACCUUACCUACCCUUGACAUGUCAGGAAGAUUUCAGAGAUGAGAUUGUGCCCGAAAGGGAACCUGAACACAGGUGCUGCAUGGCUGUCGUCAGCUCGUGUCGUGAGAUGUUGGGUUAAGUCCCGCAACGAGCGCAACCCUUGUCAUUAAUUGCCAUCAUUUAGUUGGGCACUUUAAUGAGACUGCCGGUGACAAACCGGAGGAAGGUGGGGAUGACGUCAAGUCCUCAUGGCCCUUAUGGGUAGGGCUUCACACGUAAUACAAUGGUCGGUACAGAGGGUUGCCAACCCGCGAGGGGGAGCCAAUCUCAGAAAGCCGAUCGUAGUCCGGAUUGUAGUCUGCAACUCGACUACAUGAAGUCGGAAUCGCUAGUAAUCGCGGAUCAGCAUGUCGCGGUGAAUACGUUCCCGGGUCUUGUACACACCGCCCGU
rnacentral:rRNA from 1 species